CCCUUAGAUGUUCUGGGCCGCACGCGCGCUACACUGUUUGAUUCAGCGAGUCUUAACCUUGACCGAAAGGUUUGGGUAAUCUUCUAAAGUCAAACGUGAUGGGGAUCGAUCAUUGCAAUUAUUGAUCGUGAACGAGGAAUUCCUAGUAAAUGCAAGUCAUCAGCUUGCGUUGAUUACGUCCCUGCCCUUUGUACACACCGCCCGUCGCUACUACCGAUUGAAUGGUUUAGUGAGAUCUCCGGAUUGGCUCUGUAGGUCCCGCAAGGGAUUUAUUAGUAGCCAAGAAGCUGCUCAAACUUGAUCAUUUAGAGGAAGGAGAAGUCGUAACA
rnacentral:rRNA from 1 species